UCCUGGUUAACCCAGGCAGUCUCGUCAGAGUGCCCAACUUAAUGCUGGCAACAGACGAUAGGGGUUGCGCUCGUUGCGAGACUUAACCCAACAUUUCACAACACGAGCUGACGACAGCCAUGCAGCACCUCUCACUACAUUCCCUUGCGGGCACCCCGUCCAUUACAACGGGUUCGUAGGAGUUCAAGCCUAGGUAAGGUUCUGCGCGUUGCUUCGAAUUAAACCACAUAAUCCACCGCUUGUGCAGGCCCCCGUCAAUUUCUUUGAGUUUCAGCCUUGCGGCCGUACUCCCCAGGCGGGGCACUUAAUGCGUUAGCGCCGGCACCCAGGGGGUCGCUCCCCCAGGCACCUAGUGCCCAUCGUUUACGGCGUGGACUAC
rnacentral:misc_RNA from 1 species